rnacentral:piRNA from 1 species
UUCACAGAAAGGUACCAAUUUGGUGGC